UACGGAGGGUGCGAGCGUUGUCCGGAAUCACUGGGCGUAAAGGGCGCGUAGGCGGCGCGGGUAGUCAUCGGUGAAAGUUCAGGGCUCAACUCUGAAUCGGCCGGUGAUACUCUCGUGCUUGAGCACUGUAGAGGCAGGUGGAGUUCCGGGUGUAGCGGUGGAAUGCGCAGAUAUCAGGAGGAACACCGGUGGCGAAGGCGGGUCUCUGGGCAGUAACUGACGCUGAGGAGCGAAAGCGUGGGGAGCGAACAGG
rnacentral:rRNA from 1 species